rnacentral:rRNA from 1 species
UCCGGUUGAUCCUGCCAGACCCGACUGCUAUUUGGGUAGGACUAAGCCAUGCAAGUCUAAUGGAACAGCUUUGUUCCAUGGCGCACUGCUCAGUAACAAGUGAUCAACUUACCCUUUAGUGGGGGAUAAUCUCGGGAAACUGAGGCUAAUACCCCAUAGAUGGAAAAGCCUGGAAUGGUUUUCCAUCGAAAGACGGCUCCAAUUGUGGAGUCGAUCGCUAAAGGAUAGGAUCGCUCUCGAUUAUGGUUGUUGGCGAGGUAAUGGCUCACCAAGCCUAUGAUCGAUAGGGGCCGUUAGCGCGGGAGCCCCGAGAUGGGGACUGAGACAAUGCCCCAGGCCUUACGAGGUGCAGCAGGCGCGAAACCUUUACAAUGCACGAAAGUGUGAUAAGGCUACCCAAAGUGCCAUGAAAAAGGUCAUGGCUUUUAUGAGGUUUAAACCGCCUCAUGAAUAAGGAGAGGGCAAGGCUGGUGCCAGCCGCCGCGGUAAAACCAGCUCUUCAAGUGGUCGGGACUUUUAUUGGGCUUAAAGCGUCCGUAGCCGGUUUGGUAAGUUCCUGGUUAAAUCUAAUAGCUCAACUAUUAGUUAGCUAGGAAUACUGCCUUACUAGAGGGUGGGAAAGGUCUGAGGUAC